GUACACGCUGUGACUAGCAUAUCAAUAAGCGGAGGAAAAGAAACUAACAAGGAUUCCCUCAGUAACGGCGAGUGAAGCGGGAAGAGCUCAAAUUUGAAAUCUUGAAAGGUCACCUUUCACGAAUUGUAGUUUAAAGAAGUGUUUUCUGUUACGAUCGUAAUAUAAGUUCUUUGGAAUAGGACAUCACAGAGGGUGAGAAUCCCGUCUAUGAUUGCGAUUUGUAGCUUUGUGAUACACUUUCAAAGAGUCGGGUUGUUUGGGAAUGCAGCCCAAAACGGGAGGUAAAUUUCUUCUAAGGCUAAAUAUUGGCGAGAGACCGAUAGCGAACAAGUACCGUGAGGGAAAGAUGAAAAGAACUUUGAAAAGAGAGUUAAAUAGUACGUGAAAUUGUCAAAAGGGAAGCGUUUAACAGCCAGUGUUGUUUUCUGAAAAUCAACCUCUGUUAGCUUUAUGCAUGUUUGUUUAGACCUAAUCAGCUAUCUUUCAUGUUCUAUUGUUUGCAGUGGUGCACUUUUCAGUUUACAGGUCAACAUCAGUUUUUUUUACCGUAAAAAAGUUAAAGAAAGGUAGCUCAUGGCUCCGGUCGUGAGUGUUAUAGUCUUUUUCCUAUGCGGUAGGAGAGACUGAGGUCUGCAGUGUAGGCUAUUUGGCUAGAUACUCAGGUGCUAUGUAAUACCAUUUCAUAAACAACUUGUUGAUUAUGUUUUCGUCUAUUGCAUACUCGCUUGUACUAUCAUACCUACGCUUAGGAUGUUGAGUAGCGACAUACGCAC
rnacentral:rRNA from 1 species